GACGUAGGUGGCGAACGUUAUCCGGAAUUAUUGGGCGUAAAGGGUGCGUAGGUGGCCUGACAAGUUAUCAGUGGCAAAUCGAGGCUCAACCUCGUGGAAACUGGUAAUACUGUUCGGCUUGAGUACAGGAGAGGUUAACGGAACUCUAUGUGGAGCGGUAAGAUGCACAGAUAUAUAGAAGAACAUCAAUAAAGGCGAAGGCAGUUAACUAUUCUGUUACUGACGCUGAGGCACGAAAGCGUGGGGAGCAAAACGG
rnacentral:rRNA from 1 species